GGACCGGCACCAAAGAUUAAGCAGUGUACUUGUGUUUGGGGGAAAGAGAGCAGUGGUUGUAUAUGACAUCCCCGAUCAGCCAAUUGUGAAACGUAAUGUCGCUCAUGGUGGAAAUGCUGAGAAAUGUGUCCAAAUUGUCUGUGAGGAAUUCCAUCAUGCAGCAAGACAACGACCCAUCAGGGGAGAAAAGUGGAAGGCUUUAGACUGGACAAGUCAGUCACCAGACCUUAACCCAAUCAAGCACAUUUCAAACUCCUGGAGAGGAAACUGAAGGAAAAAAAUCCCCCAAAAACAGACAGCAACAGAAGAAAGCUGCAGCAUAAUUCAGGAAAAGCGUCACAAAAGAAGAACGCAACAGUUUUGUUGAUGCAGUUUUUGCAAGCAAGGGACAUGCGAACAAACAUGAAGUGUUGUUUACUUUCAGAUGAUCUGUUUCAA